rnacentral:rRNA from 1 species
UACGAAGGGAGCUAGCGUUGUUCGGAAUCACUGGGCGUAAAGCGCACGUAGGCGGGCGUGGUAGUCAGGGGUGAAAUCCCGGGGCUCAACCUGGGAACUGCCUCUGAUACUGCAAGUCUCGAGUCCGGAAGAGGUGGGUGGAAUUCCUAGUGUAGAGGUGAUAUUCGUAGAUAUUAGGAAGAACACCGGUCGCGAAGGCGGCCCACUGGUCCGGUACUGACGCUGGGGUGCUAAAGCGUGGGGAGCAAACAGG